GGGAUGGACAUAGCCUGGGUCAUCCUGGCUCGGAUGGAGUGCUGCUCCUGCCAUCGAUGGAACCGCUUUCUUACAGCUGAACGCACCUGAUAAAUCGUACCUGGAAGGAUUCCAAAAAUGAGUUGAAAUAUAUGAAGACAAUUUGAGAGAUCUCAUCUUCCCCCGGGUUCACAAAGAACAGCAUAUAGGUGAUUCCCAGGAGAGGAAGAAGUACCAGUGUAGCCUUCACCGCUUUCCUGUAGACGAGGAGAGCAGUGAGCAGGAAAGCAUGUCAGACAGCCACAGCAGACUUUUAGAUGGAGGCAGGUAUACAACAGAAUACAGCAGGUUACAGCACACGUACCUGUAUUGGAUUGUCUCCGAUGUGGUAGAGGCUCGCAGUUUGGUCAUGAGGAUUCUCACAAUGUUGAAGAGGAAAAUAAAAUUGAUCUGUGGGGGUAAACAAACAAACAAAGCACAGUGAGACUCUUUAUUAAGGCGCUACAGUGGUCUUCAUUGAGUGGUGCGGCCUGAACCACCUGAAGCUAAAUGUCAGCAAGACGAAGGAGCAGGUCGUGGAGCCAACUCUGACCCCUGCGUCCAUCCAUGGGGAAGAUGUUGAGAUAGUCCCCUCCUACAAAUACCUUGGAGUGCACCUUGAUGACGGGCUGGGGCGGACUAAGAAUACAGAGGCUCUUUACUUCCUGCAGAGGCUAUGAUCCUUUAACGUUUGCAACAAGAUACUGCAAAUGUUCUAUCAGUUAGUUGUAUCCAGAGCCAUUUUCGACACAGUGGUGUGCUGGGGGGCGGAUUUGAACAAGCUUGUUAGGAAAGCCACCGCUGUCAUAAGAGGUGUGAUUGAGCUAGACUUCCUGGGGGGCGACAGCAGAGAUAAGGAUGCUAACCAAGCUAGUGAGCAAAGUAAACAACACCUCCCUUUCCCUCCAUGAUGGGCUUGUUAAACAGAAGAACACCUUCAGCUUUCCCCUUUGUCACAAUAACUGAUAACUGGCUAAGAACUGUACUAUAUGAUUAUU